rnacentral:tmRNA from 1 species
GGGGCCGACUGGCAAUCGACCGGAUAGGGAAGGUGGGUCGUGGCACACCCAGGUGCACGUAUGGUUCCUGGUUAAACAACGUGCAAAAUAACAAUUGCCGAUGACAACACUGUCUUGGCGCGGAUCGGGUUUGAUACCCCGGCCCGUCUGGCUGCUUGAUUGCGGCCGCGUCCUGAUGUCACUCGCUUGUGGCGGCAUUUGGGCGAACGAUUAGCAAGCUCGUCCAAUGGCGGCGCCUAAGCGCCGGCGGAUUAAAACUUUCUUGGGCUGGGUUGGUUAGACGAUGUCGUUGAUGGCUAACCCGCUAAGAUUAAACCAGCGACUAUGUGUGUAGAGGCGGCUUGCUGACUGUCACGGGACGGGGGUUCGAAUCCCCCCGGCUCCAUUU